rnacentral:lncRNA from 1 species
UACAGUGUACUUACAUAUAAUAAAUAAAUCUUAAAAAAAAAAAAAAGUUGAUAAGGGAAUUUACAUGCACUUGGGAAAAAUCUAGGGAACUGACCCCAGGCUUUGUGCUCUAUAUGGCUAGCCUCUUAUUUUUUAUUAUUUUUGAGAUUUUAAAUUUAUGUAUCUGGAUGUUUGUUCUGCCACAUGCAUGUUGCACCUACCCUUGGAGGUCAGAAAAGGACAUUGACCUGCCUGGAACUGAAAUCAUAAGAUAGUUGUGAGCCACCAGUAUGGGUACGCCACCAGUAUGGGUACUGGGAGUUGAACCUGUCCCCUCUGGAAGAGCAGUCCAUGCUCUUUGCUGCUAAGCCAUCUCCAACCCCAAUUAACAAAGGAUAAACUAAGAAUGAUGGCUUAUGUCCACUCCCAAGAUUUGGGAGGCAGGAGUAUCAAUGCAAGUAUGAGACUGGUCUGUUGUACAUGGCAUGUUCUAGGUCCACCAGGGUACAUAGGGACAGUUUUUCUCAAAAUACACAGAAGAGUGAGAGAGAGUGUCUAUCAAACCUAUGAGGGAGGGUGUUACCAACUAAGGGUAUGAGUACCUGAAUGUGUGUGGGUGUGUGUACACUAAUGUGUCUGCCUAGUGCCUGGAGGGUAUCAGAUCUCUUGGAACUGGAGUUCCAUAGAUGGUUGUAAGCUAUCAUGUGGGUGUGGGGAACUGAACUGGGUCCUCUGCUUGCUCUUAGUCACUGAGCCCACCUCUCCAGCCCCUAAAAAGUUCAUUCUUUACACUGGCCCAGAGCAGUGUGUUGUUAAAUUGAGUCCACGUGACAGGAUUUAGGAGCUACCCUAGCACAGCCUUUUUAUGAAGCAGUAUUUUCUAUGGGGCGUCUGUCACUAGUACCUUGGCUUUCUGGGUUGGUUAACCUUUUAACUGCAUUAUAGCCCUAAUUAUUUCGGAGAAAUGAGCUUGUCCAGGUAGUCCAGUGUUUGAAGAUUCUAGCUCACCUGAAACCAUAGAUUGCUGAGCUCAGUUUCUCUGUACAUUUUAGGCAUUCAUUCACACAUUGGAGUUUUGUAGCUCAAGCACAACUUACGAAUCAGAAGACACUAGUGGUAAAUAAUGGCCACUCAGUUAAGAAAAGAUUAAGUAUUAGAAACAUUUAUUUUUUUUUUUUCAAAAAAAAAUUGGGAGGAGUGGAAUAAAACAAGGCUAAAUUUCAGCAAAUGCUGUACCACGAUCACAGGUCAGACAAAACCGAAAACC